GACGUAGGGCGCGAGCGUUGUCCGGAUUUAUUGGGCGUAAAGAGCUCGUAGGCGGUUUGUCGCGUCUGCUGAUGGAAAACUCCGGGGGCUUAACCCCGGGCCUGCAGGUGGGUACGGGCAGACUAGAGUGCGGUAGGGGAGACUGGAAUUCCUGGUGUAGCGGUGAAAUGCGCAGAUAUCAGGAGGAACACCGGUGGCGAAGGCGGGUCUCUGGGCCGUAACUGACGCUGAGGAGCGAAAGCGUGGGGAGCGAACAGG
rnacentral:rRNA from 1 species